AGUACAGACAGACUUGUCCCACAGUCCAUAUCAUCAGUGAAUGUGUCGAAAGUUUAACAAAGGUACUAGCUCCGGCGAGUGCCAACCUGCCUGAUAGCCGCUCAGCAAAAUGCGAGCACACCCCAAUAAAGGUGAUACGUCCACUGAAGUUUAGAGGUAAUGUCCUCCUCGUAGGUGACUGCGAGAAGUGGGCCCUCUGGAAACUUUCCCGUGAACCGUAUCAACCCUUUUAGUUGGGGGUGUUGCUCGGCAUUUUGCUGAGCCGCGCCCUAUCAUGGCGAAUGUUUGGACUUCGGUCUGGGCUAGUAGCUUUUUGUUUUAAACCCUUUUAACAAUACUGAUUAUACUGUGGGGACGAAAGUCUCUGCUUUUAACUAGAUAGCAACUUUCAGCAGUGGAUGUCUAGGCUCGCACAUCGAUGAAGAACGCUGCGAACUGCGAUACGUAAUGCGAAUUGCAGGAUUCAGUGAGUCAUCGAAAUUUUGAACGCAUAUUGCACUUCCGGGUUAGUCCUGGGAGUAUGCCUGUAUCAGUGUCCGUACAUCAAACUUGGCUUUCUUCCUUCCGUGUAGUCGGUGGAGGAUGUGCCAGAUGUGAAGUGUCUUGCGGUUUGUGUGCCUUCGGGCCGAGGCUGCGAGUCCUUUGAAAUGUACUGAACUGUACUUCUCUUUGCUCGAAAAGCGUGGUGAUGCUGGUUGUGGAGGCUGCCUGCGUGGCCAGUCGGCGACCGGUUUGUCUGCUGCGGCGUUUAAUGGAGGAGUGUUCGAUUCGCGGUAUGGUUGGCUUUGGCUGAACAGACGCUUAUUGUAUGCUUUUCCUGCUGUGGCGUGAUGGGCUGGUGAACCGUAGCUGUGUGUGGCUUGACUUUUGAAUCGGCUUUGCUGUUGCGAAGUAGAGUGGCGGCUUCGGCUGUCGAGUGUCAAUCCAUUUUGGGAACUUUUGUGUGCGCUGUCGAGUGUGCAUCUUCAGUUGAACCUGAUAUCAAGCAGAUUACCCGCUGACCUUAAGCAUAUUCAUAAGCGGAGAAUCCCCUUAGAACUUUCACGUGAACGUAUCACCUUUUAGUUGGGGGUGUUGCCUGGACUUUUGCUGAACCGCCCUACAUGGCAGGUUGGACUCGGUACGAGCUAGUACUUUUGUUAGCUUACAUACUGAUAACUGAGGGACCAGUCUGCUUUACUCGAUAGCCUCUCCCUGGAGUCAGUUGC
rnacentral:rRNA from 1 species